UAAUACUGGAUAGGCAAUUUUUCCUGUAAUGGUUUUUUGUUUAAAUGUUUUUUCGCCUAAGGAUGGGUCUGCGGCCGAUUAGGUAGUUGGUUAGGUAAUGGCUUACCAAGCCUUUGAUCGGUACGGGUUGUGAGAGCAAGAGCCCGGAGAUGGAACCUGAGACAAGGUUCCAGGCCCUACGGGGUGCAGCAGGCGCGAAACCUCCGCAAUGUGAGAAAUCGCGACGGGGGGAUCCCAAGUGCCAUUCUUAACGGGAUGGCUUUUCAUUAGUGUAAAGAGCUUUUGGAAUAAGAGCUGGGCAAGACCGGUGCCAGCCGCCGCGGUAACACCGGCAGCUCUAGUGGUAGCAAUUUUUAUUGGGCCUAAAGCGUCCGUAGCCGGUUUAAUAAGUCUCUGGUGAAAUCCUGUAGCUUAACUGUGGGAAUUGCUGGAGAUACUAUUAGACUUGAGACCGGGAGAGGUUAGAGGUACUCCCAGGGUAGAGGUGAAAUUCUGUAAUCCUGGGAGGACCGCCUGUUGCGAAGGCGUCUAACUGGAACGGUUCUGACGGUGAGGGACGAAAGUUAGGGGCGCGAACCGGAUUAGAUACCCGGGUAGUCCUAACUGUAAACGAUGCGGACUUGGUGU
rnacentral:rRNA from 1 species